GGGGGUAUGUCUCAGUGCUAGAGCACAUGCUUAGCAUGCACGAAGUCCUGGGUUCAAUCCCUAGUUCCUCCA
rnacentral:tRNA from 1 species